UACGUAGGGUCCAAGCGUUAUCCGGAAUCACUGGGCGUAAAGCGUGCGCAGGCGGUUUUGUAAGCCAGAUGUGAAAGCCCCGGGCUUAACCUGGGAAUGGCAUUUGGGACUGCAAGGCUGGAGUGUGGCAGAGGAGACUGGAAUUCCUGGUGUAGCAGUGAAAUGCGUAGAUAUCAGGAGGAACACCGAUGGCGAAGGCAGGUCUCUGGGCUGACACUGACGCUCAUGCACGAAAGCGUGGGGAGCAAACAGG
rnacentral:rRNA from 1 species